AGCAGGUAAAGUUACAGUUCCCUCCCCUGAGCCCAUUGAGUUUUAAGUCACGUGAGUGUCACAAGUCGGUCUCACCAACCAGCCAAUCACAGUGCACCCCCUCACCUGAGUAUUAAUCACCUGCACCUGUUCACUAUUAUCCAAUCAGCUCAACACCUCAUUUAAGCACACACCUCAGUCUCUCACGUUGUUCGAUCUUGUAGCCAGUACAUGGAACUUCUCCGGUAUUCUGUUAUUAGCUUUGACUCUCCAAACCAAGCUUUCUCCUAACCUCCUUGAUUACAUGAUCCUCCAAGACUCCUGUGUUUCCCCAGCAAUUCUCCAACGACUUCUCUUCCAAGUUCUCCUCUCCUUCAUCUCUCCCAAGGAGCUGGAAAAGGUUUGGUUGUGUGACACUGGAUAUCUGUUCAGAGAGUUGAUCUCAGAUCAGAGACACACAGGACACACACAGCCUCGCUUUCUCCUGAGCGUCAGUGGAGCAGAGCAGAGUGUGUAACAGUCACCAAACCCCCACAGAGUCUCUGGGUUCAGACUGUAACGCUGGAGAACAGCAGACGCCACUGAAGAUGAGCUCCGUCACACUGCUGGACUACAGGAAGACGAGGAGAGAAACCACAGCUGAGCAACAACAGAGCCAUGAUGAGGAUUUCAAUCCUUCAGAUCAGCAGCUGAUUGGACGGCUGCGGUGUGUCCUCAGAGUCUGUUGGAGAAGGGAUCUGUACGGAAAGCUGGAUGUUCUCUGACUGGAUGUUCUGGGAAAGAGACAGAUCCCUCUUUACUGGAAAACAGUCCAUGAUCUGCUUCCCAGAGUCUCCAGGGUGAAUGUUCCUCGAGUGUUUAACGUGUUUCUCUCAUCUGUCUGCGAGCAGAUGUCCUGCUUCUGGAAGAACAGAAAGAUGAAGCGAUUCGCCUUCAUCCGGGCAGGUAAAACCAUUAAAAUCUCCUCUCAGAGACUUCACGAUAUCCAGAGACCUUCAGCCGUCGCUGCAGACUGUAACAGAGAAACACAUUCAUUACUGAGAGAAGCAGCUCAUCUGUCCUUCUUCCUCUGGUCAUCCUCUUUUAUAAUGCACCAGUUUUCCUCGAGGUCUGGUAAAUAAGUAUUUCACAAAUGUACUUCGUUGUUUUUAAUCAGUUAUGUAUGUUUUAUCACACAACUUCAGUAAAAGUCACAGAGCAAAUACUGGUUUUCAUUUAAUUCAGGAAAGUUUGAAAAAAAAAAAAAAAAAACAUAACCUUAUCUGGAUAAUCUAGUCUGUGGUUAUGUACUGUACGUGUGCAUUCAUUUAUUCAUUUAUAUACCAUUUUUUAUUUCAGAA